AGGAGAAAAAUUCGAGGAGGAUCAGGGACGAGGAAGUAGGGCAUGCGCCGGAGGAGGGGAGGGAGACGAGGGAAGAGAAGAGGGAGGAGGGGGAGGCAAGGAGCGAAGAGAAUACCCAGGAGGAGGAGGAAGAGCCAGAGGAGAAGAAAAACGAAAAAGAAGAGGAAGAAGAGAAAGAAGAGAAAAAAGAGGAAAAAAUAAAGCUAAAGGAGGAAACGAAGCAGCAAGAGGAAGAAGAAAAAGAACAGGGGCAAAAAAGGGAAAGAAUCAAAGGAAAGGCUC
rnacentral:ribozyme from 1 species